UGUCAAGUUUUUAAGGGCACACGGUGAAUGCCUUGGCAUUAGGAGCCGAAGAAGGACGUAGGAAUCUGCGAUAAGCCUCGGGGAGUUGAUAACCAAACUUUGAUCCGAGGGUGUCCGAAUGGGGGAACCCCGCCACCGGUUGCAAGACCAGGUGGUGACCCGCAUCUGAAUAUAUAGGAUGUGUGGAGGGAACGUGGGGAAGUGAAACAUCUCAGUACCCACAGGAAGAGAAAACAAAAGUGAUUCCGUUAGUAGUGGCGAGCGAACGCGGAACAGGCUAAACCGUGUCAUGUGUGAUAGCCGGCGGGCGUUGCAUGGUGCGGGGUUGUGGGACUUACCGUGACGGAUCUGCCGGUUCGUUGAGGGGAAUGGUGCAUGUAUAGGUGAACGGUUUUGAAUGGCCGACCGUAGAGGGUGAGAGUCCCGUAACUGAAAUGCAGUGCACUCCCUUAGGUGAGUAUCCCAAGUAGCACGGGGCCCGAGAAAUCCCGUGUGAAUCUGUCAGGACCACCUGAUAAGCCUAAAUACUACCUAAUGACCGAUAGCGGACAAGUACCGUGAGGGAAAGGUGAAAAGUACCCCGGGAGGGGAGUGAAAUAGUACCUGAAACCGUGUGCUUACAAUCCGUCAGAGCAAGCGUGCACUUUGGUGUAGUUGUUCUUGUGAUGGCGUGCCUUUUGAAGAAUGAGCCUGCGAGUUAGUGUUACGUCGCGAGGUUAACCCGUGUGGGGAAGCCGUAGCGAAAGCGAGUCUGAAUAGGGCGAGUGUAGUGGCGUGAUCUAGACCCGAAGCGAAGUGAUCUACCCAUGGCCAGGUUGAAGCGCGUGUAAGAGCGCGUGGAGGACCGAACCCACUUCAGUUGAAAAUGGAGGGGAUGAGCUGUGGGUAGGGGUGAAAGGCCAAUCAAACUUCGUGAUAGCUGGUUCUCCCCGAAAUGCAUUUAGGUGCAGCGUUGCGUGUUUCUUACCGGAGGUAGAGCUACUGGAUGGCUAAUGGGCCCUACAAGGUUACUGACGUCAGCCAAACUCCGAAUGCCGGUAAGUCAGAGCGUAGCAGUGAGACUGUGGGGGAUAAGCUUCAUAGUCGAGAGGGAAACAGCCCAGACCACCAACUAAGGCCCCUAAGCGUGUGCUAAGUGGGAAAGGAUGUGGGAUUGCUUAGACAACCAGGAGGUUGGCUUAGAAGCAGCCAUCCUUAAAAGAGUGCGUAAUAGCUCACUGGUCAAGUGAUUCCGCGCCGACAAUGUAGCGGGGCUCAAGUACACCGCCGAAGUUGUGGAUUUCAAACAUUACCCUAGCUAAGGAUUCGUUCCUGGUUCAGGGUUUGGAGUGGUAGGGGAGCGUCGUGUAGGCAUUGAAGUCGCAGUGUGAACUAGCGGUGGAGCCUACACGAGUGAGAAUGCAG
rnacentral:ncRNA from 1 species